rnacentral:rRNA from 1 species
UACGUAGGGUGCAAGCGUUAAUCGGAAUUACUGGGCGUAAAGCGUGCGCAGGCGGUUUGGUAAGACAGAUGUGAAAUCCCCGGGCUUAACCUGGGAAUUGCAUUUGUAACUGCCCGGCUAGAGUUUGGCAGAGGGGGGUAGAAUUCCACGUGUAGCAGUGAAAUGCGUAGAUAUGUGGAGGAAUACCGAUGGCGAAGGCAGCCCCCUGGGUCAAGACUGACGCUCAUGCACGAAAGCGUGGGGAGCAAACAGG